UUUCAAAAAACCCUCACGAUUUUGCUUGGUUGCUACGGCGGUCGGAUUCACGAGUUACGACUACAACCUCGGCGACGGCAACUCCUCUCCUCGACGAUUGCUUGUUUGCUCAUUGUUGACCUUUAUUCAGGAAGUUAGCUGCACAAAUCGCAAGCAAAUAGCAGCAACCUACAGUCGAGGUAAAAAAGCCACCAGUCUCAGUGGCACCAAAUAGAAAUGAAUCAGAAGACUGCAUUAUAAUCGAUGCUGAAGAAUACAAGGCCGUUGGCUAUUCUUUCGUGCUAAUGUUUGUGCAACAUACUGAAGCAAUGAUGGAGGAAAUUGAUAGGAUGGAUGAGGAGAUAGAGAUAGAAGAUGUAGAAAACUGGCCAAUUGUGGAUAUAGACAGCGCUGAAAAAAAGAACACGCUUGUAGUUGUGGAGUACAUCGACGACAUCUAUGCUUACUACAAGAAGACUGAGGUAGAAAUGUUACUCCACUCGCCCUUCUAUUAUGUGAAUAGAAUAGGAUAUGGCCUGUAGUAUUUGUAGAAUUCUCAUAUUUUGCAACUGUUUAUUUAAUUCUUACGGUUAUAGUCUCAUUGUGUGAAAGAGUGGUACUAGUUCUCGGCUGAUCCACCUUUAUGAUCAUUAAGCUUAAUAGCUUGCCAUGUUAUUCACAGAAUCUAGGCAUUUAAUUUCAGUAUAGAAUGUAGCUAGUCCGAUAAUCGAGAGCAUCGAAUGUUUCUUACACGCCUUUUGUCAGGCAG